rnacentral:rRNA from 1 species
GGGACACGUGGUAUCCUGUCUGAAUAUGGGGGGACCAUCCUCCAAGGCUAAAUACUCCUGACUGACCGAUAGUGAACCAGUACCGUGAGGGAAAGGCGAAAAGAACCCCGGCGAGGGGAGUGAAAAAGAACCUGAAACCGUGUACGUACAAGCAGUGGGAGCACCUUCGGGUGUGACUGCGUACCUUUUGUAUAAUGGGUCAGCGACUUAU